UGCUGACGAGUGGCGAACGGGUGCCCUUUACAUCGGAACGUGCCCAGUAAUGGGGGAUAGCUCGGCGAAAGCCGGAUUAAUACCGCAUACGCCCUGAGGGGGAAAGUGGGGGACCGCAAGGCCUCACGUUAUUGGAGCGGCCGAUGGCUGAUUAGCUAGUUGGUAGGGUAAAGGCCUACCAAGGCGACGAUCAGUAGCUGGUCUGAGAGGACGAUCAGCCACACUGGGACUGAGACACGGCCCAGACUCCUACUGGAGGCAGCAGUGGGGAAUGUUGGACAAUGGGGGAAACCCUGAUCCACCAAUGCCGCGUGUGCGAAGAAGGCCUUCGGGUUGUAAAGCACUUUUGUCAGGGAAGAAAUCCUUUGGGCUAACACCCUAGGGGGAUGACGGUACCUGAAGAAUAAGCACCGGCUAACUACUGUGCCAGCAGCCGCGGUAAUACGUAGGGUGCAAGCGCUAAUCGGAAUUACUGGGCCGUAAAGCGUGCCGCAGGCCGUUGGCGUCAAAAACGGGAGGAAAUCCCCCGGGCCUUAACCUGGG
rnacentral:rRNA from 1 species